rnacentral:rRNA from 1 species
AGCGAACGUUGGCGGCAGGCCUAACACAUGCAAGUCAAACGGAUCCUUCGGGAUUAGUGGCGGACGGGUGAGUAACACGUGGGAACGUGCCCUUUGGUUCGGAACAACUCAGGGAAACUUGAGCUAAUACCGGAUGUGCCCUUCGGGGAAAGAUUUAUCGCCAUUGGAGCGGCCCGCGUCUGAUUAGCUAGUUGGUGAGGUAAAGGCUCACCAAGGCGACGAUCAGUCGCUGGUCUGAGAGGAUGAUCAGCCACAUUGGGACUGAGACACGGCCCAAACUCCUACGGGAGGCAGCAGUGGGGAAUCUUGCGCAAUGGGCGAAAGCCUGACGCAGCCAUGCCGCGUGAAUGAUGAAGGUCUUAGGAUUGUAAAAUUCUUUCACCGGGGACGAUAAUGACGGUACCCGGAGAAGAAGCCCCGGCUAACUUCGUGCCAGCCGCCGCCGUAAUAC